UACGGAAGGGGCAAGCGUUGUCCGGAUUUAUUGGGCGUAAAGAGCGUGUAGGCGGCCAGGUAGGUCUGCUGUGAAAACUCGAGGCUCAACCUCGAGACGUCGGCGGAAACCAUCUGGCUAGAGUCCGGAAGAGGAGAGUGGAAUUCCUGGUGUAGCGGUGAAAUGCGCAGAUAUCAGGAAGAACACCCGUGGCGAAGGCGGCUCUCUGGGACGGUACUGACGCUGAGACGCGAAAAGCGUGGGGAGCGAACAGG
rnacentral:rRNA from 1 species